GAAAAAUCUCCUAUUUUGUCUGAAAGUUUUAGAGGUAUAAGCAGACACAUCAGGUUUUCUAUGCAUCUUAUUCUCAAGUAUUGUUCUUGUCACUUUUCUGACAUACAAGCGAAUUUGACAAUAGUCUCGAAAUUUUAGUAUCUCUUACAAAAAUGCCAGGCUGCUGUAAUUUUUACCAGUGCUGUGCCAGGCACAUUCCCAAUUUCUGCUGUCCCAACUCACCCUGUGGACCACCUUGUAGCCGGUUCUUGUUUCCGCACUGUCGUCGCUACUACCUCCAGUGGAGACUGAGAUGCCGCUGUUGAAUUUUGGCGCCCUACCCUGCCUCUCCCCUAGCGACGGUCCUGACAGCAGAGCUACUCCACCUCCAAUUUCCUACCCGAAAAAAGAGUGAAAGAAGUCUUUUGUUAUUCAAUAAACAAUGUUGAAUGGUUAUUAUGUUCAAGGUGAAGUAUAAAAAAAUGUUUUCUUGAA